rnacentral:rRNA from 1 species
CAGGGCGAACGCUAGCGGCGCGCCUAACACAUGCAAGUCGUGCGGGAAAGGGCUUCGGCCCCAGUACCGCGGCAGACGGGUGAGUAACACGUGAGUAACCUGUCCUCGGGUCUGGGAUAACCACCCGAAAGGGUGGCUAAUACCGGAUAAAGUCACCGGGCGCAAGCUCGGUGAUGAAAGGGGGCCUCUGCAUAGCAAGCUCCUGCCUGAGGAGGGGCUCGCGGCCCAUCAGCUAGUUGGUGGGGUAACGGCCCACCAAGGCUAUGACGGGUAGCCGGCCUGAGAGGGUGGUCGGCCACACGGGCACUGAGACACGGGCCCGACUCCUACGGGAGGCAGCAGUGGGGAAUCUUGGGCAAUGGGCGAAAGCCUGACCCAGCGACGCCGCGUGGGGGAAGAAGGCCUUCGGGUCGUAAACCCCUGUUCUGGGGGAAGAACCCUGACUGGGUUAAGAGCCCAGUCAGGCUGACGGUACCCCAGGAGAAAGCCACGGCUAACUGCGUGCCAGCAGCCGCGGUAA